CCUACGGGAGGCAGCAGUGAGGAAUAUUGGUCAAUGGGCGCUAGCCUGAACCAGCCAAGUAGUGUGAAGGAUGACUGCCCUAUGGGUUGUAAACUUCUUUUAUAUGGGAAUAAAGUGCAGUAUGUAUACUGCUUUGCAUGGACCUUAUGAAUAAGGAUCGGCUAACUCCGUGCCAGCAGCCGCGGUAAUACGGAGGAGCCGAGCGUUAUCCGGAUUUAGUGGGUGUAAAGGGAGCGUAGGCGGGUUGUUAAGUCAGUUGUGAAAGUUUGCGGAUCAACCGUAAAAUUGCAGUUGAGACUGGCGUCCUUGAGUACAGUAGAGGUAGGCGGAAUUCGUGGUGUAGCGGUGAAAUGCGUAGAUAUCACGAAGAACUCCGAUUGCGAAGGCAGCCUGCUGGACUGUAACUGACGCUGAUGCUCGAAAGUGUGGGUAUCAAACAGGAUUAGAUACCCUAGUAGUC
rnacentral:rRNA from 1 species